rnacentral:rRNA from 1 species
CUGCGAAUGGCUCAUUAAAUCAGUUAUCGUAUAUUUGAUAGUACCUACUACAUGGAUAACCGUGGUAAUUCUAGAGCUAAUACAUGCUUAAAAUCCCGACUUCGGAAGGGAUGUAUUUAUUAGAUUAAAAACCAAUGCCCUUCGGGGCUCACUGGUGAUUCAUAAUAACUUCUCGAAUCGCAUGGCCUUGUGCCGGCGAUGGUUCAUUCAAAUUUCUGCCCUAUCAACUUUCGACGGCUGGGUAUUGGCCAGCCGUGGUUACAACGGGUAACGGAGGGUUAGGGCUUGACCCCGGAGAAGGAGCCUGAGAAACGGCUACUACAUCCAAGGAAGGCAGCAGGCGCGCAAAUUACCCAAUCCCGAUACGGGGAGGUAGUGACAAUAAAUACUGAUACAGGGCUCUUUUGGGUCUUGUAAUUGGAAUGAGUACAAUUUAAAUCCCUUAACGAGGAACAAUUGGAGGGCAAGUCUGGUGCCAGCAGCCGCGGUAAUUCCAGCUCCAAUAGCGUAUAUUAAAGUUGUUGCAGUUAAAAAGCUCGUAGUUGAACCUUGGGCCUGGUUGGUUGGUCUGCCUCACCGCAUGCACUGAUCCGACCGGGCCUUUCCCUCUGGGGAUCCGCAUGCUAUUCAUUUAGUGUGUCGGGGAACCAGGACUUUUACUGUGAAAAAAUUAGAGUGUUCAAAGCAGGCCUAUGCUCGAAUACAUUAGCAUGGAAUAAUAGAAUAGGACGUGUGGUUCUAUUUUGUUGGUUUCUAGGACCGCCGUAAUGAUUAAUAGGGACAGUCGGGGGCAUCAGUAUUCAAUCGUCAGAGGUGAAAUUCUUGGAUCGAUUGAAGACUAACUACUGCGAAAGCAUUUGCCAAGGAUGUUUUCAUUAAUCAGGAACGAAAGUUAGGGGAUCGAAAACGAUCAGAUACCGUUGUAGUCUUAACCAUAAACUAUGCCGACUAGGGAUCGGACGAUGUUAUUUUUUGACUCGUUCGGCACCUUACACGAAAGUAAA